GCACCUCCUCCUCCCAGUCCCAGAUCGUGCUCCUCCCACGGCCCUCCCAGAAACCGCACCUCCCUCCCACGCCUCCCUCCGCCGUCUCCGCCGCUGACGCCGGAAACCGCCCCAAUCUCCUCCCCCUUUUCAUUCACACACCCUCCUCACGCCCACAUCCAUCCCGUCACCCGCCCACUCGCCGUCGCACGAGCCUCCCCGUCGUCGAUCCCCUCCCUUCUCACCCUCAUCCUCAGGUAUUGUUGCCGAUUGUCCUGUCUCCGCUCGUCGCCGGCCCCUCGUAGCGCAAAUCGUCAUCCUGCAUCGUCGAUUCCCCACGCCUCGAUCUCCCGUUGGUCUUCCCGCCGCUCGCCAUUGACCAUCGCCCAUGGCUCCUCCAAGAGUCACCGCCGAAUCCACCCCACGCACCCGCGCCACCUCCCACCCGCACCCUCGCCCCCGCCCACUCCCUCGCUCUCCAAACCCUAACCCUAACCUCCCCUCCUCUCUCCACGACUCCCCGCCGCACGCCGACAGUUCGUCGCCGCGCGCCGCACCCGCACUCCCCUCCCCGCUCACCGGUUUCCUCAUCACGCCUUCGUGCCGCCACCACUCCGAUCCCCAUCUCGCGAGCAGAGCAGGGGAGGGAUCUCCUCCGCGGCCGCUGCCGACCGGCACCGUCGCCUGAAUUGCCGCCUCCGCUCCGAUCCCCAUCGCGCGAGCAGAGCAGGGGGAGGGGAGGGGCGCCGUCGUCCUGCUGCAUUCCGCACUAUCUUCUCUUCAAGAUCUGGAUGAUUCUCUUCGACCGCGAUUGCUCCGGCGACCUCCUCCACAGUCCGUCAAAGGGUUUGUCCUCAUUCCGUCACCCUCGAUGACCCAGGCCGCAGUAGCGACGCUGGUUUCUUAGCCAACACCAGGGUCUACCUCGCCAAUUCAGUUCAGCUUGGUAGAUCAGUUUAGCGUUGAGAAGCAAGCUGUGAAAACAUCCACUUAAUGCAGAAGAGUUGUUCCUGUAUAUUUGGUACACUAUUCUCGUUUAAGUUGUUUAAAGAUGAUUCAAGGUCUCAAAGACGUUAUUAUCAUCGAAAUGAAGGCUGGAGGUAAGAGGAGAGCUCUGAUACCUCCUCAAGUAGUCUACACUGAUGAGAGCGUGCGGCCCAUACCAGAGGAGGCUGAAGGGGGACUCAUUAUUUAAAAAAUGAAAUGAAAACUGCUAUCCAUGUUGACUCCAUCGAUUCAUUGAUCAGAUCAGGGGGUUUGAAUGAAUAAGGAUAUCUAUGCUGUUCAUGAAGUGCAUAAUGGAUGGUGUGAUCCUCUUUAAUCAUACUGCUUCCUUCAGAGUUCAGAUACAAGGGCCUAACCAUGGUAACUAAUGAUGCACAGCUGCUUUGCUCCAGGGUGAACCCUCACUCUGCUGGUUGGAUUUCAGCCGUGGAUUAGCAACUGGUUCAUGUUCUGAAAUUUUUAUACUAACCAUCCUCACUCUGUAGUAUUUGAAAUCAACCUUUCAGUUUGUUCUGAAUUUUUAUGCAGAAUAUAACCAUGCCAGUAUUUUGGAAUGAGUGCAGAAUUUGAUCCGUCGGUUCUGAAGAAACCCGGUUACUUAUUAGAAGAAGCAGAGACCACAACCUGGCAGUGGCUGGUCACUUCAGUGGUCUCCAAUUGCCUUUGAAUACGACAAUGAAUAAGUGUAAUUAACUGGGGGAGUGCUUCUUGAAGUAGAUAGAAAGCUUUGCUACUUUUGAAGAAAACAAGUUGAUAAUGGAGAAAUUGGGUGAGACAUCAUUCAUUCUACACAACUUUGAGAACUGACUGAGAUGUAAGCCUGGAAAAUAGUCAUCCCAUGUGAAUAACACAAAUGAACAUCGAAGUUAUAUGUAGCGCCGGAAAUAUAUAGAAGAUAGCUCAUGCAACUGUACGUGACAUGGGUUGUUCAAUCCAUAACACUAUGCAUUGUUGAUCGAUUGGUGAUUAUUGUUCCCUAUAUAUGCUCUGGGCAUUGACACGAACCGCAUAACAUUGCAGGGCCAUAUAUCUUGAGAUAUUCAUAAUUGCGUUUAAACCAA